rnacentral:sRNA from 1 species
GAAGAAGCUUCGACUAAGGUUCGAUUCGAGCGCAGCGAGAAAGCGUUGCCGCAGGCAACGACCCGAAGGGUGAGGAGCGGAGCGACGAAUAAUCCUUCCCCCACCACCA